AUGAACGCUAGCUACAGGCUUAACACAUGCAAGUCGAGGGGCAGCAUGGUCUUAGCUUGCUAAGGCCGAUGGCGACCGGCGCACGGGUGAGUAACACGUAUCCAACCUGCCGUCUACUCUUGGACAGCCUUCUGAAAGGAAGAUUAAUACAAGAUGGCAUCAUGAGUCCGCAUGUUCACAUGAUUAAAGGUAUUCCGGUAGACGAUGGGGAUGCGUUCCAUUAGAUAGUAGGCGGGGUAACGGCCCACCUAGUCUUCGAUGGAUAGGGGUUCUGAGAGGAAGGUCCCCCACAUUGGAACUGAGACACGGUCCAAACUCCUACGGGAGGCAGCAGUGAGGAAUAUUGGUCAAUGGGCGAGAGCCUGAACCAGCCAAGUAGCGUGAAGGAUGACUGCCCUAUGGGUUGUAAACUUCUUUUAUAAAGGAAUAAAGUCGGGUAUGUAUACCCGUUUGCAUGUACUUUAUGAAUAAGGAUCGGCUAACUCCGUGCCAGCAGCCGCGGUAAUACGGAGGAUCCGAGCGUUAUCCGGAUUUAUUGGGUUUAAAGGGAGCGUAGAUGGAUGUUUAAGUCAGUUGUGAAAGUUUGCGGCUCAACCGUAAAAUUGCAGUUGAUACUGGAUAUCUUGAGUGCAGUUGAGGCAGGCGGAAUUCGUGGUGUAGCGGUGAAAUGCUUAGAUAUCACGAAGAACUCCGAUUGCGAAGGCAGCCUGCUAAGCUGCAACUGACAUUGAGGCUCGAAAGUGUGGGUAUCAAACAGGAUUAGAUACCCUGGUAGUCCACACGGUAAACGAUGAAUACUCGCUGUUUGCGAUAUACUGCAAGCGGCCAAGCGAAAGCGUUAAGUAUUCCACCUGGGGAGUACGCCGGCAACGGUGAAACUCAAAGGAAUUGACGGGGGCCCGCACAAGCAGUGGAGUAUGUGGUUUAAUUCGACGCAACGCGAAGAACCUUACCAAGUCUUGACAUCCUGCGACGAUGCUGGAAACAGUAUUUUCCUUCGGGACGCAGAGACAGGUGGUGCAUGGUUGUCGUCAGCUCGUGUCGUGAGAUGUUGGGUUAAGUCCCGCAACGAGCGCAACCCUUAUGGUCAGUUACUACGCAAGAGGACUCUGGCCAGACUGCCGUUGACAAAACGGAGGAAGGUGGGGAUGACGUCAAAUCAGCACGGCCCUUACGUCCGGGGCUACACACGUGUUACAAUGGGGGGUACAGAGGGCCGCUACCACGCGAGUGGAUGCCAAUCCCAAAAACCUCUCUCAGUUCGGACUGGAGUCUGCAACCCGACUCCACGAAGCUGGAUUCGCUAGUAAUCGCGCAUCAGCCACGGCGCGGUGAAUACGUUCCCGGGCCUUGUACACACCGCCCGUCAAGCCAUGGGAGCCGGGGGUACCUGAAGUGCGUAACCGCGAGGAGCGCCCUAGGGUAAAACUGGUGACUGGGGCU
rnacentral:rRNA from 1 species